rnacentral:rRNA from 1 species
UGGGGAAUAUUGCGCAAUGGGGGAAACCCUGACGCAGCAACGCCGCGUGCGGGAUGAAGGCCUUCGGGUUGUAAACCGCUUUCAGCAGGGAAGAUCCAAGACGGUACCUGCAGAAGAAGCCCCGGCUAACUACGUGCCAGCAGCCGCGGUAAUACGUAGGGGGCAAGCGUUAUCCGGAUUCAUUGGGCGUAAAGCGCGCGCAGGCGGGUUGCUAAGCGGGACCUCUAAUCUCAGGGCUCAACCUUGAGCCGGGUCCCGAACUGGCAGCCUCGGGUUCGGUAGGGGAGAUCGGAAUUCCCGGUGUAGCGGUGGAAUGCGCAGAUAUCGGGAAGAACACCGAUGGCGAAGGCAGAUCUCUGGGCCGCAACCGACGCUGAGGCGCGAAAGCUAGGGGAGCGAACAGG